GACGAACCGUGCAAACGUUAUUCGGAAUCACUGGGCAUAAAGGGCGCGUAGGCGGCUUUCUAAGUCAGGGGUGAAAUCCGGCAGCUCAACUGUCGCAGUGCCUUUGAUACUGGAGAGCUCGAGGGAGGUAGGGGUCUGUGGAACUUCCGGUGGAGCGGUGAAAUGCGUUGAUAUCGGAAGGAACGCCGGUGGCGAAGGCGGCAUACUGGACCACCACUGACGCUGAGGCGCGAAAGCUAGGGGAGCAAACGGGGAU
rnacentral:rRNA from 1 species